CCCUGUGUGUCACCAAGUGUGCUCCUCUGUUAGCACCCCUGCCCCCAGCUCUGCCCUAGCUCUGCAGCCUCUCCACUCCAGUGGGCAGGAAGCUCUUCCCCAGGGACCUCCAUUUUCAUGGCCAAGUUGCCAACAUGCUGGGAUGGAGCAGAAGACGUAGGAGAACUCUGCACGUCACAACGGAGACAAGGGCUCCCCCGUACUGUGUGAAGACACAGAGCCUGCCUGUGUGGAAUCACGUUUGCUGCCAUCUGAAGAGCAGUCAGCUUUUUCACCUGAUGAUCAGUUGGGAACCAUGUUGUUACUGAAAUUCCUUUCCCCGGAACUAACAUCAAAGCAACCAGGAGGAUGCUUUGUUCUUACCAAUCAAAUUUCAGACAGAGAAGAAACUUGACUUCCAAGGUUGGUAUGAUGUGGACAAGAGCAGAGAGGGAAGAAUGGCCCAAGAAGAAGGAACAGCAGGAUCAAGAGGAGGCCGAAAAAAUUGGAAGGAAGUCUAGGUAAGUGGACUGCAUCAUGUGAAUUAAGUGAAGACUGGAAGGACGUGUGUAGGAAGAGGAAAGUUAGGUCAGUUUGGGCCAUGUUAUUUAUGGAGAAUGUUGACAUCAGACUAAGGAGGGAGAGCUUUAUCCAUGUGAUUAUAGAGAAUCACUGAGAAUUUUUAGAUUAAUAUCUGUUUCUUUUAUAAUUUUUGAAAGCAAUAUGUGACCGAUGUAGAAAAACUGGGAACUAAGAAAGACAGAACUAAAUAACUAUCAUUAACUUCACACCUCUUUGUUAAUAUUUGGAGUUUAUCUUCCAGUCUUUAUACACAUACAUGUUUUCCCCCCCAAUAACCUUCUUAUACUUUUAUAAUACAUAACAACACACUAAUUUAAUGUUUGGUUUGUCUUUUAGCAUAGUACAUGUCUAUUGUAAAUAAAUAAGAAAAUG